UACGUAGGGUGCGAGCGUUGUCCGGAAUUAUUGGGCGUAAAGGGCUCGUAGGCGGUUUGUCGCGUCGGGAGUGAAAAUCCAGGGCUUAACUCUGGACUGGCUUCCGAUACGGGCAGACUAGAGGUAUGCAGGGGAGAACGAAUUCCUGGUGUAGCGGUGAAAUGCGCAGAUAUCAGGAGGAACACCGGUGGCGAAGGCGGUUCUCUGGGCAUUACCUGACGCUGAGGAGCGAAAGUGUGGGGAGCGAACAGG
rnacentral:rRNA from 1 species